rnacentral:rRNA from 1 species
GACGAACGCUGGCGGCGUGCUUAACACAUGCAAGUCGAACGAAGUCUUCGGACCUAGUGGCGGACGGGUGAGUAACACGUGGGAACGUGCCUUUAGGUUCGGAAUAACUCAGGGAAACUUGUGCUAAUACCGAAUGUGCCCUUCGGGGGAAAGAUUUAUCGCCUUUAGAGCGGCCCGCGUCUGAUUAGCUAGUUGGUGAGGUAAAGGCUCACCAAGGCUACGAUCAGUAGCUGGUCUGAGAGGAUGACCAGCCACAUUGGGACUGAGACACGGCCCAAACUCCUACGGGAGGCAGCAGUGGGGAAUCUUGCGCAAUGGGCGAAAGCCUGACGCAGCCAUGCCGCGUGGAUGAUGAAGGUCUUAGGAUUGUAAAAUCCUUUCACCGGUGAAGAUAAUGACUGUAGCCGGAGAAGAAGUCCCGGCUAACUUCGUGCCAGCCGCCGCGGUAAAAC